CGGCGGAGUACUUUGCUUGCGGCGUAGACGAUGGCGCGCAUGCCGUGCUUGCUGCUGGAGCCGUGGGGCACCUCCUCGCCCACCCCGACAACAAGGAUUCGCAGUGGCACCGCCGCAGCCAGCGAGGACACAAGCUCACGAGGAUUGUUGCCGCUUCGGAGGACAUGGGAGCUGCCAUAGCCAGCGAGUACGUGAGCGCACGUAGGCACCAUCGCUUUCGAGGAUGCGAGAGCCAUCUCAGCUUGAGAGAAUGCGCAUACCAUCUCCAGUGUGUGCAACAAGUGUUCCUCUAAACGUCUGAGCGUAAAGACUACUCAUGGGUGAUGCUUCUGUGACCAGACCUCUAUAAAAUCACAAGAUAGUUUCAGUGUUGUUGUUCUCAAUCAUGUUACCCUUAAGUGCAAGACAUC